UACGAAGGGUGCAAGCGUUACUCGGAAUUACUGGGCGUAAAGCGUGCGUAGGUGGUUUGUUAAGUCUGAUGUGAAAGCCCUGGGCUCAACCUGGGAAUGGCAUUGGAUACUGGCGAGCUAGAGUGCGGUAGAGGGUAGUGGAAUUCCACAUGUAGCGGUGAAAUGCGUAGAUAUGUGGAGGAACAUCAGUGGCGAAGGCGGCUUCCUGGCUUAAAACUGACACUGUGGCGCGAAAGCGUGGGUAGCAAACAGG
rnacentral:rRNA from 1 species